rnacentral:rRNA from 1 species
CCGAUGCAAACUACGAAUACCGAAGAAUGUUAUCACGGGAGACACACGGCGGGUGCUAACGUCCGUCGUGAAGAGGGAAACAACCCAGACCGCCAGCUAAGGUCCCAAAGUCAUGGUUAAGUGGGAAACGAUGUGGGAAGGCACAGACAGCCAGGAUGUUGGCUUAGAAGCAGCCAUCAUUUAAAGAAAGCGUAAUAGCUCACUGGUCGAGUCGGCCUGCGCGGAAGAUGUAACGGGGCUAAACCAUGCACCGAAGCUGCGGCAGCGACACUAUGUGUUGUUGGGUAGGGGAGCGUUCUGUAAGCCUGCGAAGGUGACCUGUGAGGGUUGCUGGAGGUAUCAGAAGUGCGAAUGCUGACAUAAGUAACGAUAAAGCGGGUGAAAGCCCGCUCGCCGGAAGACCAAGGGUUCCUGUCCAACGUUAAUCGGGCAGGGUGAGUCGACCCCUAAGGCGAGGCCGAAAGGCGUAGUCGAUGGGAAACAGGUUAAUAUUCCUGUACUUGGU